rnacentral:rRNA from 1 species
CGAGGGGAAUUGAAACAUCUUAGUACCCUCAGGAAAAGAAAUCAAUAGAGAUUGCGUCAGUAGCGGCGAGCGAAAGCGCAAGAGGGCAAACCCAGUGCUUGCACUGGGGGUUGUAGGACUGCAAUGUGCAAGAGGUAAGUUUAGCAGAACAUUCUGGAAAGUAUAACCAUAGAGGGUGAUAGUCCCGUAUGCGAAAAACAAACCUUAGCUAGCAGUAUCCUGAGUAGGGCGGGACACGAGGAAUCCUGUCUGAAUCCGGGUCGACCACGAUCCAACCCUAAAUACUAAUACCAGAUCGAUAGUGCACAAGUACCGUGAGGGAAAGGUGAAAAGAACUGAGGUGAUCAGAGUGAAAUAGAACCUGAAACCAUUUGCUUACAAUCAUUCAGAGCCCUAUGUAGCAAUACAGGGUGAUGGACUGCCUUUUGCAUAAUGAGCCUGCGAGUUGUGGUGUCUGGCAAGGUUAAGCAAACGCGAAGCCGUAGCGAAAGCGAGUCUGAAUAGGGCGCUUAGUCAGAUGCUGCAGACCCGAAACGAAGUGAUCUAUCCAUGAGCAAGUUGAAGCUAGUGUAAGAACUAGUGGAGGACUGAACCCAUAGGCGUUGAAAAGCCCCGGGAUGACUUGUGGAUAGGGGUGAAAGGCCAAUCAAACUUCGUGAUAGCUGGUUCUCUCCGAAAUAUAUUUAGGUAUAGCGUUGUGUCGUAAUAUAAGGGGGUAGAGCACUGAAUGGGCUAGGGCAUACACCAAUGUACCAAACCCUAUCAAACUCCGAAUACCUUAUAUGUAAUCACAGCAGUCAGGCGGCGAGUGAUAAAAUCCGUCGUCAAGAGGGAAACAACCCAGACUACCAGCUAAGGUCCCUAAAUCUUACUUAAGUGGAAAACGAUGUGAAGUUACUUAAACAACCAGGAGGUUGGCUUAGAAGCAGCCAUCCUUUAAAGAAAGCGUAAUAGCUCACUGGUCUAGUGAUUUUGCGCGGAAAAUAUAACGGGGCUAAAGUAAGUACCGAAGCUGUAGACUUGCACACAACUUAGAUUAUUUAAGUUUAGAAUAUGAGAAACUAAGUUAUAUGUUUAGUUAUAUUUUUACUGAUUUUUAUAGAGUAAAGAUAGAAAUAAAACUUAGUAAAAUCAGUAAAAAUAUUCUUAGACUAAAGUUAAGUAGUUUAAGUUGUGUGCAAGUGGUAGGAGAGCGUUCUAUUUGCGUCGAAGGUAUACCGGUAAGGAGUGCUGGAGCGAAUAGAAGUGAGCAUGCAGGCAUGAGUAGCGAUAAUUAAUGUGAGAAUCAUUAACGCCGUAAACCCAAGGUUUCCUACGCGAUGCUCGUCAUCGUAGGGUUAGUCGGGUCCUAAGUCGAGUCCGAAAGGGGUAGACGAUGGCAAAUUGGUUAAUAUUCCAAUACCAACAUUAGUGUGCGAUGGAAGGACGCUUAGGGCUAAGGGGGCUAGCGGAUGGAAGUGCUAGUCUAAGGUCGUAGGAGGUUAUACAGGCAAAUCCGUAUAACAAUACUCCGAGAACUGAAAGGCUUUUUGAAGUCUUCGGAUGGAUAGAAGAACCCCUGAUGCCGUCGAGCCAAGAAAAGUUUCUAAGUUUAGCUAAUGUUGCCCGUACCGUAAACCGACACAGGUGGGUGGGAUGAGUAUUCUAAGGCGCGUGGAAGAACUCUCUUUAAGGAACUCUGCAAAAUAGCACCGUAUCUUCGGUAUAAGGUGUGGUUAGCUUUGUAUUAGGAUUUACUCCGAAAGCAAGGAAACUUACAACAAAGAGUCCCUCCCGACUGUUUACCAAAAACACAGCACUCUGCUAACUCGUAAGAGGAUGUAUAGGGUGUGACGCCUGCCCGGUGCUCGAAGGUUAAUUGAUGGGGUUAGCAUUAGCGAAGCUCUUGAUCGAAGCCCGAGUAAACGGCGGCCGUAACUAUAACGGUCCUAAGGUAGCGAAAUUCCUUGUCGGUUAAAUACCGACCUGCAUGAAUGGCGUAACGAGAUGGGAGCUGUCUCAAAGAGGGAUCCAGUGAAAUUGUAGUGGAGGUGAAAAUUCCUCCUACCCGCGGCAAGACGGAAAGACCCCGUGGACCUUUACUACAGCUUGACACUGCUACUUGGAUAAGAAUGUGCAGGAUAGGUGGGAGGCUUUGAGUAUAUGACGCCAGUUGUAUAUGAGCCAUUGUUGAGAUACCACUCUUUCUUAUUUGGGUAGCUAACCAGCUUGAGUUAUCCUCAAGUGGGACAAUGUCUGGUGGGUAGUUUGACUGGGGCGGUCGCCUCCCAAAUAAUAACGGAGGCUUACAAAGGUUGGCUCAGAACGGUUGGAAAUCGUUCGUAGAGUAUAAAGGUAUAAGCCAGCUUAACUGCAAGACAUACAAGUCAAGCAGAGACGAAAGUCGGUCUUAGUGAUCCGGUGGUUCUGUGUGGAAGGGCCAUCGCUCAAAGGAUAAAAGGUACCCCGGGGAUAACAGGCUGAUCUCCCCCAAGAGCUCACAUCGACGGGGAGGUUUGGCACCUCGAUGUCGGCUCAUCGCAUCCUGGGGCUGGAGCAGGUCCCAAGGGUAUGGCUGUUCGCCAUUUAAAGCGGUACGCGAGCUGGGUUCAGAACGUCGUGAGACAGUUCGGUCCCUAUCUGCCGUGGGCGUAAGAAGAUUGAAGAGAUUUGACCCUAGUACGAGAGGACCGGGUUGAACAAACCACUGGUGUAGCUGUUGUUCUGCCAAGAGCAUCGCAGCGUAGCUAAGUUUGGAAAGGAUAAACGCUGAAAGCAUCUAAGCGUGAAGCCAACUCUAAGAUGAAUCUUCUCUAAGCUCUCUAGAAGACUACUAGUUUGAUAGGCUGGGUGUGUAAUGGAUGAAAGUCCUUUAGCUGACCAGUACUAAUAGAGCGUUUGGCUUAUCUUUAAUAAAGCAU